CUCUUGUGCCUGCUGCGGACAGAUCAGGUGGAUGUGCGUGUCGACCGCGCCGGCCGUCACGAUCCGUCCCUCGGCCGCCACCACGUCUGUGCAGCUGCCGACAACCAUGCAGGCCGGCGACACGUCCAUCACGUCCGGGUUGCCAGCCUUGCCCAGACCCACGAUCACGCCGCCCUUGAUGCCAAUGUCGGCCUUGAAGAUGCCCGUCCAGUCCAGCACCAGUGCGUUGGUCACCACCAGGUCCAGACAAUCGGCGUCGGCCCGUCCGGAUGCCUGGCCCAUGCCCUCGCGCAG
rnacentral:sRNA from 1 species